GACGAACGCUGGCGGCGUGCUUAACACAUGCAAGUCGAACGGUAAGGCCCUUCGGGGUACACGAGUGGCGAACGGGUGAGUAACACGUGGGUGAUCUGCCCUGCACUUCGGGAUAAGCCUGGGAAACUGGGUCUAAUACCGGAUAGGACCACUGCCUGCAUGGGCGGUGGGGGAAAGCUUUUGCGGUGUGGGAUGGGCCCGCGGGCUAUCAGCUUGUUGGUGGGGUGAUGGCCUACCAAGGCGACGACGGGUAGCCGGCCUGAGAGGGUGACCGGCCACACUGGGACUGAGAUACGGCCCAGACUCCUACGGGAGGCAGCAGUGGGGAAUAUUGCACAAUGGGCGCAAGCCUGAUGCAGCGACGCCGCGUGAGGGAUGACGGCCUUCGGGUUGUAAACCUCUUUCAGCACCGACGAAGCGCAAGUGACGGUAGGUGCAGAAGAAGGACCGGCCAACUACGUGCCAGCAGCCGCCGUAA
rnacentral:rRNA from 1 species